rnacentral:lncRNA from 1 species
GCCGGCAGGUCCACGUCCUGGGCGACCGCUCUGUCGCAGUUGGGCGAGACCUACCUAGUCCUGACGGGUCGUAUUUCCAAGACAUUUUCAUAUUCUAUCCAUUGUUUUGUGUGCAUUUUAUUACUUCUGUAUAUAGAGGUAACAACGCUAAGCUUUUUUGAGAUGUCUGUUUCUUCUAGAUGUUCUGAAGUACCUGAUACAUGUUAAAAUUAGAGGUUCAUGCAUGUUGUGAAGACAGGAUUUUGAACGCUCUCACCACAAAGAAAUGACAAGUGUUUGAGCAACCAUAGGCUUUGAUGGCUUCUCACAGGACAGAAAACCUGGAUCAUCCCAAACCUGCUCUGUGAACCCUCUACUUCAUGUAUGGGUUUCCUCCCAUGCUGCACACUGUGAGGGUCAUGCAUCACCACAGCAUGCACAGCUGAGAAAUGUGGAGAGUGAAGGACCCAGGCCACAUUGACUGUGGGGAUGUAAGCCAGUGGAGACACACUUCCUGAAGUAAGAUGCAUUUCACAAAGCUCCCAGUUUCCAGAAGGAUGGAGCACCAGUCACCCUUGGUCAUGGCCAAACCCUCUUUGUCCUUGCCCUUUCCUGCUCUCUGGGAUCACAGAACAUGUGCACUGGACACAGCUUCUGCCUUGGAAACACCCAGACUAAGGUUUCCAGGCAUACAACUACUAAAAUCCUUGGAUUCCUUAAAGUGGUACUUGUAUGUUAAUGAGUUGACAAAUGGCUAGUAGUCCCUACGUAGCUUCAGGAUGGGAGCUGGGCACCUGAAAGACCAAGGCAGAAUUAGAGAAUUAAGAUAGUCAGACCCAGCCCCCAACCUCCAUGGAGGGAAGAAGGGAUGAAUGUUAAGCAGAACACCAAUGGCCAGUGAUUUAAUCAGUCAUGCCUACAGAAUGAUGCCUCCAUAAAAACCCUCAAGGACUGGGUUCAGAGGGCUUCCAGAUAGCUGAAGACGUGGAGGUUCCUGGAAGGUGGUGAACCUGGAGAGAGCAUGCAAGCUCCACAGCCUUUCCCUAUACCUCACCCUAUGCAUCUCUUCAUCUGCAUCUCUUGCGAUAUCCUUUACAAUAAACUGCUAAAUGUAGAUGCCUCCAUGAGUUCUGUGGGCUGCUCUAGCAAAUUAAUUGAACCCAAGAAGGGGGCUGUGGUAACCCAGACUUACAGCUGAUUGACUGGUCAGACACACAGGUAAAAAGAACUUGAGGCUUAUAAUUGGUAUUGGAAACGGGGAUGUCUUAUGAGACUUAGCCCUCACCCAGCAGACCUGGCGUUAUUUCCAGGUAGAUAGUGUCAAAACUGAAUUGAAGGACACCCAGCUGGUGUCUGCCAUAGGAUUGAUUGUUUGCUUGGUGUAUGGGCUUAACCCCAUCACCUUUAGUCACAGAAGUCUUCUGUGUUGAUUGUUGAGUGAGAGAAUAGAAAAAGCGCUUUAGUUUGUUUUUCCUUAUAGAACAUGUUGACAUUAUGUGGACAUAUUUAAAUUUCCCUUCAGACACCAAAUUCGUACUUUUGCCAAUAAUGUGUACAAAGGCAUAUAUUCUCACAGUUUCACUAACAUUUGAUUUUGUUAGUAACUUUAGUUUUACUUGCAAAUCUUACCUCAGUAUCAUUUUAUUUGGCAUUGAUUUAAUCAUUAGUGAGGUUUAACAUCUUCUGGUAUGUUUUGGGGCUAUUUGUGUUUCUUCAAUAAAUUGUUUUUUUCUUAAAUUUUCAUUGUUUUACCUUUUUGCUUACUGAUUUGUAGCGGUAGUUGACAUGAUUCUACACAUCUUUGUCAUCAUAUAAGUGUUGAAUCGUUUUUCUAGUGGGACGUUUUAUCCUUUUGCUAUGUUUUGUUUGUUUCCUUUGUGGUACAAAAGUUUUAAAUGUUAUAUGUAUUAAAUAAACUAUCAAUCAUGCCUUUAAAAAAAAAAAAAAAAAAA